AUGUGAGUGGCUCCCAUGGUGGCUCCGGUUGACGGAGAAUCACGGUUCGACGCCGGAGAGGGAGCCUGAGAUACGGGUACCAUGUCCAAGGAUGGCAGCAGUGCGCGCGAAUAACCCAAACCUGACGUGGGGAGGUAGUGACACAAAAUACCCCUACAGGGCUUAUUUGUCAUCUUGUCGUUGGCAUGAGUACAAUUUAAAUCUCUUAACGAGGACCAAUUGGAGGGCCAGUCUGGUGCCUCCAGCCGCGGUCCUUCCAGCUCCAAUCUCGUAUUGUAAAGUUGUUGGUGUUGUAUCGCUCGCACUUGGAUUUCGGACUCGACGACGACGGUCCGCCGCAAGAGCCGCAAGGUAUGUCACUCUCGGCGAUGCCCUUCUUCGCACAGACUUCGCGUGCUCUUAGAUGAGUGUGCGUUGGAUACGCGACGUUUACUUUGACAAUAUUAGAGUGUUCAAAGCAGGCUCGUGCUUGGAUACAUCAGCAUGGAAUAAUGGAAUAGGACUUUGGUUAUAUUUUCCGUUGAUUUAUGGCACCGACGUGAUGACUAAUAGGGACAGUUGGGGGCAUUCGUAUUUCGAUGUCAGAGGUGCAAUUCUUGGAUUUACGGCAGACGAACUAAUGCGUAAACAUGUGCCAAGAAUGUCUUCAUUAAUCAAGAACGAAAGUUAGAGGAUCGAAGACGA
rnacentral:rRNA from 1 species